GAUGAACGCUAGCUACAGGCUUAACACAUGCAAGUCGAGGGGCAUCAGGAAGAAAGCUUGCUUUCUUUGCUGGCGACCGGCGCACGGGUGAGUAACACGUAUCCAACCUGCCCUUUACUCGGGGAUAGCCUUUCGAAAGAAAGAUUAAUACCCGAUAGCAUAAUGAUUCCGCAUGGUUUCAUUAUUAAAGGAUUCCGGUAAAGGAUGGGGAUGCGUUCCAUUAGGUUGUUGGUGAGGUAACGGCCCACCAAGCCUUCGAUGGAUAGGGGUUCUGAGAGGAAGGUCCCCCACAUUGGAACUGAGACACGGUCCAAACUCCUACGGGAGGCAGCAGUGAGGAAUAUUGGUCAAUGGGCGCUAGCCUGAACCAGCCAAGUAGCGUGAAGGAUGAAGGCUCUAUGGGUCGUAAACUUCUUUUAUAUAAGAAUAAAGUGCAGUAUGUAUACUGUUUUGUAUGUAUUAUAUGAAUAAGGAUCGGCUAACUCCGUGCCAGCAGCCGCGGUAAUACGGAGGAUCCGAGCGUUAUCCGGAUUUAUUGGGUCUAAAGGGAGCGUAGGUGGACUGGUAAGUCAGUUGUGAAAGUUUGCGGCUCAACCGUAAAAUUGCAGUUGAUACUGUCAGUCUUGAGUACAGUAGAGGUGGGCGGAAUUCGUGGUGUAGCGGUGAAAUGCUUAGAUAUCACGAAGAACUCCGAUUGCGAAGGCAGCUCACUGGACUGCAACUGACACUGAUGCUCGAAAGUGUGGGUAUCAAACAGGAUUAGAUACCCUGGUAGUCCACACAGUAAACGAUGAAUACUCGCUGUUUGCGAUAUACAGUAAGCGGCCAAGCGAAAGCAUUAAGUAUUCCACCUGGGGAGUACGCCGGCAACGGUGAAACUCAAAGGAAUUGACGGGGGCCCGCACAAGCGGAGGAACAUGUGGUUUAAUUCGAUGAUACGCGAGGAACCUUACCCGGGCUUAAAUUGCAGUGGAAUGAUGUGGAAACAUGUCAGUGAGCAAUCACCGCUGUGAAGGUGCUGCAUGGUUGUCGUCAGCUCGUGCCGUGAGGUGUCGGCUUAAGUGCCAUAACGAGCGCAACCCUUAUCUUUAGUUACUAACAGGUUAUGCUGAGGACUCUAGAGAGACUGCCGUCGUAAGAUGUGAGGAAGGUGGGGAUGACGUCAAAUCGGCACGGCCCUUACGUCCGGGGCUACACACGUGUUACAAUGGGGGGUACAGAAGGCAGCUAGCGGGUGACCGUAUGCUAAUCCCAAAAUCCUCUCUCAGUUCGGAUCGAAGUCUGCAACCCGACUUCGUGAAGCUGGAUUCGCUAGUAAUCGCGCAUCAGCCACGGCGCGGUGAAUACGUUCCCGGGCCUUGUACACACCGCCCGUCAAGCCAUGGGAGCCGGGGGUACCUGAAGUACGUAACCGCAAGGAUCGUCCUAGGGUAAAACUGGUGACUGGGGCU
rnacentral:rRNA from 1 species